CGUAGGGUCCGAGCGUUGUCCGGAAUUAUUGGGCGUAAAGGGCUCGUAGGCGGUUCGUCACGUCGGGAGUGAAAACUCGGAGCUCAACUCCGAGCCUGCUUCCGAUACGGGCAGACUAGAGGUAGGCAGGGGAGAGCGGAACUCCUGGUGUAGCGGUGGAAUGCGCAGAUAUCAGGAAGAACACCGGUGGCGAAGGCGGCUCUCUGGGCCUUACCUGACGCUGAGGAGCGAAAGCGUGGGUAGCGAACAGGAUUAGAUACCCUGGUAGUCCACGCCGUAAACGUUGGGCGCUAGGUGUGGGGACAUUCCACGUCCUCCGUGCCGCAGCUAACGCAUUAAGCGCCCCGCCUGGGGAGUACGGCCGCAAGGCUA
rnacentral:rRNA from 1 species